GCCCCGUCCGUGACCCCCGCUCGCCCCCCACGUUUCCCAGAUGACGGCAGCUGGAAAGCCUGCCUCCGACAGCGGCCCCAGGCCACGGAGAGGCGACCCUGCAGAGAGCGGAUGUUUGUGAAGCUCCUCCUGGAGGGAAAGCUGCCGCCAGUGCAGAACACUCCCCUCUCGAGGCACAGACGGGGGAGCGGUCACGAGCCGGUCAGUCCCUCUUAGAGCCAAAAUCAGGGGCUCAGAACAUUUUCUAAUGAUUUCUGAGCCACCGAGUGCAUCUGCCCAGUCUCUGUUUUCAUUCCCUGAGAUGUGGUACUUUCUCUCCUGGAGUCCCGUAUUGGGGGUGCUUCAACCGCAGACCUUGCCUCCCUCCCAGGGUGCUGAGGAAGGACAGGCCCUGCCUUCCCCAGGAGAGCUCAGGCUGGAGAAGCCCCGGUGUAGGGGGAAGUUCUAAGCAGGCAUUGUCACCCCCAGGUCUAGUGUCUCCACAGUGCCUCCCCCAUGUGCAGCCGCUGGGAUGUGUCCAGGGCAGGACAGGAGGCAGGUGCCCAGGUGCUCCCCUAGGCAGAAGGCUCGGGUUCUGUUUUAGGGCAGGUGGGCUGGUGUGGCCCCCGGGAGCACAGAGUCCUCACUGUGGCCCCCCAAAUCCCCACAGACGCCGACCAGUCUCACCCAGGAGGGCAGGCCCUGCUGUACUGCAGGCCCCCUGGGGCGCUGGUUCCCCCAUCUGACCACACGUGCCUUCCUUGGGAUCAGCGCACCCCCAGGAAAUCCUGGGUGCCUUCAUGUCUUGGUCACUUGGUGGUCUGGGACCCUCGGGCUCCUCAUCCGUCCACAGAGCUGGCCAGGCUGUCUGUGGGGAAGUGUUGACUGGGGGCCCCAAAGCUUCUGCUAAGAAAUCCUUCUGAGUACAGCCUCUGGCCCUGGAGAACUGGAACUCCCUGCCCUGCCACUGACUUACAAAGUUGUCCCCUCCCUAUGCACUUCCAGGCACAAAAGACAGGAUCUGAUUACUGAGGAAUUUCGAUGUGCAGGGGUGGAACUCUGCCACGAGUCCAGAAACUCCAAACACAUGAACCUGGUAACUCACUGUGCAAACAGAGAAGCAUUCCUGCACAGGGUCCCUGGCGUUUGCUCUCAGCGGUCCUCGGUCAGUCCACUCUCUGUCCCUCCCACUAGCCAGCCCCUCUAUGCCAAGGGACAGCUCCCUCGUCUCCAUGGCAGGCUGGUCUUGGGGCGCAAUGGUGACAUCUCCAACUACCUUUCUCUGCUCUUCACUGCUGAUCCUGCUCCCAGGGCCACCCCCAUCGGGCCAGGAGGCUACGAGGUGGUGACGGGUAGAUGCUCCAGCUGAGACCUGCCCGGCCUCUCCCCAUCUGCACGUCUCUUAGGAGAGGACCCACAUCCAGUCCCCACACAUCCACCUGCUGUGGGCGUUCUGGCCGGCGGGCCUAUGACCCAAAUCUACCUCGGGCCCAGGGCUCACUCAGGGGGCUGGGGGCCUGGAGUGGCCAGAGCCGACCCCGCUGAGUUCUGCGGAGACCGACGAUACUCAGGGCCCAGCAGGGGUGGAAGGAUGGGCUCUAACAGGUGUGGCCCCAGGACCACAAGCCGCACCUGCUGUGUCUGAGCCCAAACAGGGCCUCCUUCCCCUCAGGUGAGGUUCUGCAGGGAGCUGGGCGGGGCGCGGAGGCGCUGGGAGCAGGUCAGCAGCUGAGGAGUGGCUCCGGGAGGGGCUACAGAGGCCCAGGGCCUGCUCUCAGGGGUCGCUGGGGACACGAGAGACUCCGACAGGGGCCGACCAGUGUGCACUUCUCUCUUGUGCUGGGGCCCCUCUCUUCAUUCCCUGCUGGACAUGUCCAUGCUGUGCUUGGCGGAGCUGCGUUUCUCCUGCUCUCCCAGUACAGAGCUCCCGGGAAGGGCUCUCCUGCCCUCUCGUGGCGGCCUCAGGGCAGUGGCCUGUGGGGGCCGCCAGCUCCUCCGCUGUGAGCUGCUGGUCACGGAAGAGACUGUGCCGUGCAGGGGACGGGGCCACUUCCUGAUACUCAGGGACAGACCUUCUUCUCUUGAGGAAAGACUCAUAAGACCUCCUCCAGGUCUUUCCUGAUUAGGAAUUUAAUCCAGGGGUCAA